UUUUAAGUUUCCAGUUUCGACCUCAUUUGGUCACCGAAAACUGUACCGAACUGUAAUCUUUAUCAGAUAACUGUCGGAUUUUAUUUCUCACUCUACGGGUGUCAGAAAAAUAUGAAACUUUAAAUCUAGCCUCAUAAAAAUAUUUCUGACUUAUCCUCCAAUUUUCAUAAUUUUCUGAGACUGUGCAUUUUCUGCUAAUUUAUCUGUCCCGUUUCCAACAGAAAAUUCUAGAUCUUCUGUUUUCAUUCCGAUUUCAGCACAAGUCACUUCUGACUUAUGUUUUACUUCUACAAAUCCAAUAAAAAUAGUUUCUCACACUAUUUUUAUUUAUUUUUAUUUUUAUACCAAAAUCUGGUAUGUUACAUUCUCCACCCCUUAAAAGAAUUUCGUCCGCGAAAUUCAAACCACGCCUCAAUUCAGCUCCAUGAGCAAUUGAGGGUACCAACUCAUUCUCCCACUCCAAAGCGGCUUCACACAAUCGUGGUUCCAGAAGCGGCUCAUACUGAAGGACAUGGGUUUAAUCCUAAACGCAUUUGCAAAGUGUGAUACAAACGUGCAUCACGGGUCUUGCAAGUCAUAGUGGCAGCGCAAGUCGGUACUCGACGACUCUACGCGCUCCAACACCACUCACCAUUCGAUACACAAAGAACUCUUCUUUGCACUUACCUUCCCUUCAGGGAAUACAUUCUGAUUCGAUCACCGACAUUGCUUAGAAGCAAUAUCACCGAUGCAUCGCUCCGUCAUGAGUGCUCUAAUUUCGCACUGACCCUUAACUUUAACGCGAGAUGGCCCACUUCGGCACAUCUCAAGUCUCAGUUCGCUUACGAGCAUAGUCUCCAACAUCACGUGGCUUUCCACUAGAUUGAUGUCUCACAAGGAGUACUUCAUCAUCUGAUACCACAUGCCACGAUCAACAUCAAACUAUUUUCGCAACGAGCUCACGCGAGCGCUUCGUUCGUGAAUUCGAGUCAAACUCCUCGAUAAGGCUAUCUGCCAAAUCGCUCUCUUCGGUCUCCACAGGUGGACCAAAGGCCACCAAUCCUACGUAGGCCUACCACCUAAACCUGUCUCAAUACGCAGCGUCUCUCGCUCGCAAAUGCAGACCCAAUCAUGAUCGGGCGAAAUUCUCACUUGGGAAUUCGCACACACUCCAACCAGGAGCAACUAAGACCCCAAACCACGUCAAGUCCUCGGGUUGGGUCACAACCAUACUCGGUGUACCAUCGGUCACACAAUCUAUCACGUGGCAUUCCACGCUCCCGGGCCUAAACUCGGACUACCGUCCUGACCAGAACUCUGCCCUACCCGUAGGUACCGGGCCGCUGUCACUCACAGCUGACUGCGCCUGCCCAAUGGGCCCAGGCUCCACAGUCCACAAAUGGUCCAGGCACGGGUCGUCCCCAAGCACUACCCGCCGUCGUCGUCCUACACGACAUACUCUACCGAGUCACACGUACCAAUAUCGGCUCCUAUGCACCUAGUGCGAGUCACCAGUCCCACGAGUGAUCCAUGGCACGCUUCACACCUAGCAAUGCUCAAGUGCUACUGCCAAUACACUCUCUCGGCUGAAUCCACAUCCGCACUCUACGGGUAUCUACACUCGAGCGCUCUACGCCUCUACAGCGUUCCACACGAAGUCCAGCAUUAGGCAAUCUUGCCUAUGCACACCGGCCGCACGAGCACAACCGCCUACCUCACCUUGAGGUACUACUAGGCCCACGUGCUCAAACUUGGCCACUAAUCGACCGUUCUCUCAACAGUGAUGCUACUUUCACUGUUCGAUCUACCGGACUGACAUCCGAAAUUUUCGGACUACUCGGGUGUUCUCAUAAGCAUCAUGGCUCAACUCUCGCAAUUUACUAUUCAUAAUUGCUCUGAGAGUCGUUUCGCCACUUCUAUCUCUACCGCGAGUCUCACUUCUCGCCAUAGAUUACUUCUAGCACUUCGCUAGUGCCAUCUGGCUCUAUACCUGUACUGGCAGGUACUACGCCCUUACAUAAUAUAAAACUCCAUUUCUAGAGCAAUCAAAUCUAUCUCUAGAAAUCCACCAUGAGAGAGUGCUUAGAAGCUUACCUCUCCAAGAAGCUCCAACCAAGGAGAAGAUGAAGAAGAUGAGGAAGACCUCCUUCUUCUUCUCUUUCUUUCCUUUCCUUUCUUCUUCCUCUUCUUGUCUUCUAGAGAGAGAAAGAGAGAUAUGAGAGGGUGUGUGGGUGAGAAAUAAGAGAAAAGAGCUCUCAUACCCCUCACAUAGCCCCACAUGUUGCAUAAGUGCAAACAAACCCCUCAAAUUUUAUUCUUUUACAUUGCCCUCACUGGGCCACUUUCGGGUUCGGGGACCGGUCUUCCCGACGAGGGACCGGUCUCCGAGAGCUUCUCCCCGCAGUCAGCAGAGCUCACACCCGAUGCAACCGGUCUUUCUUUGGGGGACCGGUCUCUCAGGGACCGGUCUCUCCAGCAGGGACCGGUCUCCGAGCGUUGUCCACCAGGGACUUAGCCGAUUUUUUUUUCUCUCCUCUUGCUGCCUGCGCGUUCGGGGACCGGUCUCUCCCGGCAGGGACCGGUCUCCGAGAACAGAAAACUUGCAGUUUGUAGAUCUUCAUUUCCAAGGCUCUCGAAGAUCCCUAGUAAUGCACUUUUGCAUUAUUNUUUGACGCCUUCGGCCUUUCCAAAGCGUACCAACCUCGCUCUUUGGUCAAUUUGACCAAGGUUCGAUACUUGGUUACUGAAAUUUCGGUAUAUUACAUACCCACUCGAUAACUAGCCGAUCCCGGACGAAGUCCAACUCUCGGCUCUCGAGAAUUCACUUCGUUACAACCAUACUGUACCAGUACACCCCUGGUGUUAAACUGGUAACACAUAUUCCAGGAUUUCGGUUUUGCAUCGCUUCGACACCAAUUCAUGCCGAGCAACGCUAAAACUAUUCUAACUCUUUUAGAACUCAAUUCUAACCCUUCCAACAAUAUUGGAAUGUCAAUUGGACUUUGUCCAACUACUUCUCUCGACGCACUUUGGUCAAUUUGACCAAAAGUGAUCUAACACGAUGAGGAUUCCUUUAAUUUCUCAAAGAUCAUGAGAGACGCCAAAACUCGUGUAGUUCCCAAUCUCCGCACGCCUCAAAUUGCCCAGGGACACCACUUGGCCCAUCCCGCGCCGAUCUAAAAGAAGAUCGCCUACGCGGUGCUAUCGCUUCCUAAAACGCGACAACUCUCCGAAUUUUCUGCUAAUUUAUCUGUCCCGUUUCCAACAGAAAAUUCUAGAUCUUCUGUUUUCAUUCCGAUUUCAGCACAAGUCACUUCUGACUUAUAUUUUACUCCUACAAAUCCAAUAAAAAUAGUUUCUCACACUAUUUUUAUUUAUUUUUAUUUUUAUACUAAAAUCUGGUAUGUUACAUUCUCCACCCCUUAAAAGAAUUUCGUCCGCGAAAUUCAAACAACACCUCAAUUCAGCUCCUCGAGCAAUUGAGGGUACUAACUCAUUCUUCCACUCCAGAGCGGCUCCACACCAUCGUGUUUGAGAAGCGGCUCAUUCUAAGGGACAUGGGUUUGAUAUUAAACACAUUUGCAAAAGGUGAUACAAAAGUGCAUCACGGGUCUUGCAAGUCAUAGUGGCUGCGCAAGUCGGUGCUCGACGACUCUACACGCUCCAACACCACUCACCAUUCGAUACACAAAGAACUCUUCUUUGCACUUACCUUCCCUUCAGGGAAUACAUUCUGAUUCGAUCACCGACAUUGCUUAGGAGCAAUGUCACCGAUGCAUCGCUCCGUUAUGAGUGCUCUAAUUUCGCACUGACCAUUAACUUUAACGUGAGAUGGCCCACUUCGGCACCUCUCAAGUCUUAGUUCGCUUACGAGCAUAAUCUCCAACAUCACGUGGCUUUCCACUCGUUUGAUGUCUCACAAUGAGUACUUCAUCAUCUGAUAUCACAUGCCACGAUUAACAUCAAACUAUUUUUGCAAUGAGCUCACACGAGCGCUUCGUUCGUGAAUUCGAGUCAAACCCCUCGAUAAGGUUAUCUGCCAAAUCGCUCUCUUCAGUCUCCACAGGUGGACCAAAGGCCACCAAUCCUACGUAGGCCUACGUCUAAACCUAUCUCAAUACGCAGCGUCUCUCGCUCGCAAAUGCAGACCCAAUCAUGAUCGGGCGAAAUUCUCACUUGGGAAUUUGCACACACUCCAACCAGGAGCAACUAAGACCCCAAACCACGUCAAGUCCUUGGGUUGGGUCACAACCAUACUUGGUGUACCAUCGGUCACACAAUCUAUCACGUGGCAUUCCACGCUCCCGGGUCUAAGCUUGGACUACCGUCCUGACCAGAACUCUGCCCUACCCGUAAGUACCGGGCCGCUGUCACUCACAGCUGACUACGCCUGCCCAAAGGGCCCAGGCUCCGCAGUCCACUAAUGGUCCAGGCACGGGUCGUCCCCAAGCACUACCCGCCGUCGUCGUCCUACACGACAUACUCUACCGAGUCACACGUACCAAUAUCGGCUCCUAUGCACCUAGUGCGAGUCACCAGUCCCACGAGUGAUCCAUGGCACGCUUCACACCUAGCAAUGCUCAAGUGCUACUGCCAAUACACUCUCUCGGCUGAAUCCACAUCCGCACUCUACGGGUAUCUACACUCGAGCGCUCUACGCCUCUACAGCGUUCCACACGAAGUCCAGCAUUAGGCAAUCUUGCCUAUGCACACCGGCCGCACGAGCACAACCGCCUACCUCACCUUGAGGUACUACUAGGCCCACGUGCUCAAACUUGGCCACUAAUCGACCGUUCUCUCAACAGUGAUGCUACUUUCACUGUUCGAUCUACCGGAAUGACAUCCGAAAUUUUCGGACCACUCGGGUGUUCUCAUAAGCAUCAUGGCUCAACUCUCGCAAUUUACUACUCAUAUUGCUCUGAGAGUCAUUUCGCCACUUCUAUCUCUACCGCGAGUCUCACUUCUCGCCAUAGAUUACUUCUAGCACUUCGCUAGUGCCAUCUGGCUCUAUACCUGUACUGGCAGGUACUACGCCCUCACAUAAUACAAAACUCCAUUUCUAGAGCAAUCAAAUCUAUCUCUAGAAAUCCACCAUGAGAGAGAGCUUAGAAGCUUACCUCUCCAAGAAGCUCCAACCAAGGAGAAGAUGAAGAAGAUGAGGAAGACCUCCUUCUCCUUCUCUUUCUUUCCUUUCCUUUCUUCUUCCUCUUCUUGUCUUCUAGAGAGAGAAAGAGAGAUAUGAGAGGGUGUGUGGGUGAGAAAUAAGAGAAAAGAGCUCUCAUACCCCUCACAUAGCCCCACAUGUUGCAUAAGUGCAAACAAGCCCCUCAACUUUUAUUCUUUUACAUUGCCCUCACUGGGCCACUUUCGGGUUCGGGGACCGGUCUCCCCGACGAGGGACCGGUCUCCGAGAGCUUCUCCCCGCAGUCAGCAGAGCUCACACCCGAUGCAACCGGUCUUUCUUUGGGGGACCGGUCUCUCAGGGACCGGUCUCUCCAGCAGGGACCGGUCUCCGAGAGCUGUCCACCAAGGACUUAGCCGAUUUUUCUCUCCUCUUGCUGCCUGCGCGUUCGGGGACCGGUCUCUCCCCACAGGGACCGGUCUCCGAGAACAGAAAACCUGCAGUUUGCAGAUUUUCAUUUCCAAGGCUCUCGAAGAUCCCCAGUAAUGCACUUUUGCAUUAUUUGACGCCUUCGGCCUUUCCAAAGCGUACCAACCUCGCUCUUUGGUCAAUUUGACCAAGGUUCGAUACUUGGUUACCGAAAUUUCGGUAUAUUACAUACCCACUCGACAACUAGUCGAUCCUGGACGAAGUCCAACCCUCGGCUUUCGAGAAUUCACUUCGUUACAACCAUGCUGUACCGGUACACCCCUGGUGUUAAACCGGUAACACAUGUUCCAGAAUUUCGAUUUUGCAUCGCUUCGACUCCGAUUCGUGCCGAGCAACGCCAAAACCCUUCUAACUCUUUUAGAACUCAAUUCCAACCCUUCCAACAUUGUUGGAAUGUAAAUUGGAUUUUGUCCAACUACUUCUCUCGACGCACUUUGGCCAACUUGACCAAAAGUGAUCUAACACGAUAAGGAUUCCGUUAAUUUCUCAAAGGUCACAAGGGCCGCCAAAACUCGCGAAGUUCCAAGUCUCCGCUCGCCUCAAAUUGCCCAGGGACACCACUUGGCCCAUCCCGCGCCGAUCUAAAAGAAGAUCGCCUACGCGGUGCUAUCGCUUCCUAAAACGCGACAACUCUAUUAAUCCUCGACCUUCUAGGUCGAACACGAAACACUUAAUACCGACUCAAAUCGGGCGAAAGUCACGCAAAGGCGUCUACUCUCAUCACUCGGCUUCAUGUUGUGUGCACCCAACAUGAACACCCUCUGUUGAGAAUAAACCUCACCUUGAGUCUACCUCUAACAUCCGUUUUAGAGGUUUAUGACAUAACCCAAUCAAUUAACCUUUCGCCAAAAGAAACAACUUCUCGUCUCUCACGAGCCUUAAUCUCCUAUGGUUCACUAUCCUAGGGUCUCCUAGGUCCAAUUAAACCAUUUUCUAUUAUUCUUUUUAUGUUCCUUUUAUGCUCUGAUACCAUCUUAUCUGUCACGCCCCGCGACCGCCCGCCUAUUUGGCCGGGUCGCGGCACCGCCAACAGAUCGCCGAACGGACAGGGUUUCCCCUAUACUGCGGACAGAGUCUCCCCUGUAC
rnacentral:lncRNA from 1 species